CCUACGGGCGGCAGCAGUGGGGAAUAUUGCACAAUGGGCGCAAGCCUGAUGCAGCCAUGCCGCGUGUGUGAAGAAGGCCUUCGGGUUGUAAAGCACUUUCAGCGGGGAGGAAGGCGUUAAGGUUAAUAACCUUGUCGAUUGACGUUACCCGCAGAAGAAGCACCGGCUAACUCCGUGCCAGCAGCCGCGGUAAUACGGAGGGUGUAAGCGUUAAUCGGAAUUACUGGGCGUAAAGCGCACGCAGGCGGUCUGUCAAGUCGGAUGUGAAAUCCCCGGGCUCAACCUGGGAACUGCAUUCGAAACUGGCAGGCUAGAGUCUUGUAGAGGGGGGUAGAAUUCCAGGUGUAGCGGUGAAAUGCGUAGAGAUCUGGAGGAAUACCGGUGGCGAAGGCGGCCCCCUGGACAAAGACUGACGCUCAGGUGCGAAAGCGUGGGGAGCAAACAGGAUUAGAUACCCGAGUAGUC
rnacentral:rRNA from 1 species